CUGAGGGCAAGAGCAGCUGUGAGGGGGCAACCGUGGAUGUAAGAGGCGAGGUUCUGGGUUGUGUUGGAUUUUUUGUUGAUGGGAGCAUUGGUGUUUAACUUCAGAACUCUGAAACAGUUUCAGCCCUUAUUCUCAAAACUCUAUGUUGCGGUUUUGUUCUAAAGGUGACCAGAACGUUAUACAGCCCGGGAACUUGCUAAAAGUAAUCUGUGAAUCUCUGCAAAACUUCAAGUUUCUUAUUCGGCUUCUCUUCAAGGCCCAUGCUAUUGUAGACUCCGUUUCAUCUUUGAUAGCUGCUACAGUUCAACCUUUGUUCUCUCUGUCUUCAGAGGUUUAAUUUCUAGUGCUAUCUACUGGAGUGGAAGUACAGCGGCGGUGCAGUUUCACAGGAAUCCGUGUUUUGUGUGCUCCAUGGUGGUCAUUUACAUGAGAGCUGAAAAUAGAAUGAUCCCCAGAUACUCUCUAAGCUCGGAGAAACCGUGUCGUUUCUUUCCAUUUGUGUACAGAGUUGAGCUUAGCUUUCCAGCCUUCCUUAUAUUGAGGAAAGUUUUAUUAACAUGAUUGCAUAAUGUUUUGUGGCCAAAAGCACUUAUUUGUUGAGGCGAAACUGAUCCAAUUCGGAGUUGUUGAUGUUUAUACCGAUCGAUCAUAGAAGAAAAAUUCUGAUUCAUUCCGAUUAAACUUCCUUCCUAUUAAUCUGGAAGUUCUUCUCAGAUAUAAGGAAAUGUUUCAGUUCCAGAGCCAAA